GCGCGGUUAGCUCAGGGGUAGAGCACUGCCUUCACACGGCAGGGGUCACUGGUUCAAUCCCAGUACCGCGUA
rnacentral:tRNA from 2 species